GGGCACAUGGUGUAGUUGGUUAUCACGCUCGCUUAGCAUCUCCAGUUGCGAGCUUUCGUUUGCGAGAGGUGUCCGGUUCAAUUCCGGAUGUGUCCA